rfam:Salmo salar isolate Sally breed double haploid chromosome ssa23, whole genome shotgun sequence.
UGCAAUCACUACUGUAAGUCACUCUGGAUAAGAGCGUCUGCUAAAUGCCUGCUA